UGGGGAAUAUUGCACAAUGGGGGAAACCCUGAUGCAGCGACGCCGCGUGAAGGAAGAAGUAUCUCGGUAAUGUAAACUUCUAUCAGCAGGGAAGAUAGUGACGGUACCUGACUAAGAAGCCCCGGCUAACUACGUGCCAGCA
rnacentral:rRNA from 1 species